UACGUAGGGGGCAAGCGUUGUCCGGAUUUAUUGGGCGUAAAGAGCGUGUAGGCGGCUGGGUAGGUCCGUUGUGAAAACUCGAGGCUCAACCUCGAGACGCCGAUGGAAACCCUCCAGCUAGAGUCCGGAAGAGGAGAGUGGAAUUCCUGGUGUAGCGGUGAAAUGCGCAGAUAUCAGGAAGAACACCCGUGGCUAAGGCGGCUCGCUAGGACGGUACUGACGCUGAGACGCGAAAGCGUGGGGAGCGAACAGG
rnacentral:rRNA from 1 species